CCUACGGGAGGCAGCAGUGAGGAAUAUUGGUCAAUGGACGAGAGUCUGAACCAGCCAAGUAGCGUGAAGGAUGACUGCCCUAUGGGUUGUAAACUUCUUUUAUAUGGGAAUAAAAUGUUCCACGUGUGGGAUUUUGUAUGUACCAUAUGAAUAAGGAUCGGCUAACUCCGUGCCAGCAGCCGCGGUAAGACGGAGGAUCCGAGCGUUAUCCGGAUUUAUUGGGUUUAAAGGGAGCGUAGGUGGAUUGUUAAGUCAGUUGUGAAAGUUUGCGGCUCAACCGUAAAAUUGCAGUUGAAACUGGCAGUCUUGAGUACAGUAGAGGUGUGCGGAAUUCGUGGUGUAGCGGUGAAAUGCUUAGAUAUCACGAAGAACUCCGAUUGCGAAGGCAGUUCACUGGACUGCAACUGACACUGAGGCUCGAAAGUGUGGGUAUCAAACAGGAUUAGAUACCCUAGUAGUC
rnacentral:rRNA from 1 species